UACGUACAUGGAUACGUUUCUUGUAGAAAAUUGUCUCAUAUCAGUCAAUUAAAACCCGGAACUGAGGGACGGACGAUCAAGGACUAUGAUAUUGCCGAUUACGCGAAGGAUGAUAAUGCGGCAAUGAAAUCAUUUAAAUGCCCACGCAAUAGACACUGAACAGAACAUCAUCGUUAGAGAUUGUGAAAGGGGACAAAUGUCGAUAGAGAUAUACAGUGGGGGUAGAAAAAGUCUUAGUACUGUAAUUUCUGUGUUUCGUAAAGAUCAAGAACAACGAACCACGAUACUACAGGCCAUUUCUGACAUUUCUGAUUAGCGGAGCAUCGAUAAGAACUGUUCACUUUUUUUCAUCGGCCACAAAUGUUUAGACGACUUUAUGAGGAAACAGAGAAAUCGUUGCACAAGCGACUCGUAGAGCAGUUCGAACCGGAAUUAAGGAAGUCGAACUCUGGCGCAAAAGUAAUUGCAUACGUAAUUGAUCGCGCGUUAAAUUGCAUCGCAUUAGAGCACACGUGAUCUUGUUCUUCGCAGUUUCAUCAAUGAUACCGAAAAGAAGAUGAAAAAUCGGAGCGGGGCGAAGGGAUUCGGUUAAGUUAAACGAUUGCUGCAAUCCAGACAGAGGCAAUAAGCGUCAUUGGUGAUUGACGCCUCCAAUGUUAUAUAUUUCAAUAAUUGUUAAAAGAAGGGUUAAGGAUGAUAACCUUUGAAUAGCGCUAUUACACUAUAAUAGUGCGAGGUACCAUUCUAAAAGCUUACAUGUGAAAAUUAACCAAUUGCACCCUUAACGAAGUUUGGCUCUUACUUCUUCCUUUUCACAAAAUUUUUUCAAUUUUUCCGAAACAAAAAUAUUACAAGAUAACAUAGUUAUUUUUUAAUUUCGAAAUCUUUUGUUGAAAAAAACAAUUGAAUUACCGAGAGAAAAGCAAAGAAAAAUGACCGAGUGAACGACAGUCCAUUGCAUUCGCAGGAUGACUCGAAAGUGAAAUCGUUCAUAGCACGGAGCAAGAAAUGUCUGUUCGGCAAAUUGAAAAAAAGCAAUGCACGAGGAAACAGGAAGUUGGACAGGAGACAAACGAUCAAGUGGAGGCAAUAAGGUAACACGGUUCUCGAUCGGACACGCAAUACAAAACGAGAUUCUUGAGCCCCUCCUUUAACGGGUCGUUUAUGUGUGCCAGAGAGACUAAUUGUAAGAAAAUACUGUUACAUAUUGGAAUCAGAGGAGUUCAAGAGAUGCUGGGAAAUUGGAUCUUUGGGUAAUUCAAAAAUUGCUGACGUAGACAAUUUUAUUAUCCAAGUGCCCGAUAGAAGAAGGUGCUUGAUAUAAUUAGAAUACAGGAGUUCAUUGUUCUUAGGGAACUUGAAAAAAUCAAUCGAGACCUUAUAGAUAAUACCAUCUCUGUGGACCAACAUUUAACGACUUAAUUUUGUCCCCGCUGAUUAAUUCCCACCAAUCAGACUUUGUUAACGGUUCCUAACUCAAUUGGGAUCAAUCGAAGGCCGAAGCGUGCUGGAAAAGUGUCGAUAUGCGCCGACCAAAAGUAGCUGACGAAGGAAGGAACACCCUCGAGAGGCAAAGACGAAAGAGCAAUCGAUGAAGCCGCCAAUGUGUCGACCACUUGACUCGACUUUGUGUGCUGGCCCCUCCUGAACACCAUCCCGACAAGACUGGCUUUCACCAUAAUUAUAUGCCAACCGAAUCGGUUCCCCACGGAAUGAAGUCUCUGAUGCAACCGGUGCAGGCCUUGCGCUACAAAUUACGAAUAGCCUUAGGCAAGGCAAAACGAACAUUGGAGAAACGAUGACGAAGAUGAAGAAGACGAAGAAAAGCAAGAAAAAGUCGCAGACAGAAGGGGAGAGAACCGACCGAGUUUGGCACGAGAAAAGAACGCCCAAACGAAUGGCUACAUACUACAUAUGUAUAUAUGUAGUCUAAACCCAAUGCUCUUGAUGAACACAUUGCAUGGUAGAUGAUGCAAGUUUGACCUGGAUGAAUCGGGAUGCAAGCAAAAGAACAAGAACAAGAGACGAG